CCUACGGGUGACUGCAGUGGGGAAUAUUGGGCAAUGGGCGCAAGCCUGACCCAGCAACGCCGCGUGAAGGAAGAAGGCUUUCGGUUUGUAAACUUCUUUUCUCAGGGACGAAGCAAGUGACGGUACCUGAGGAAUAAGCCACGGCUAACUACGUGCCAGCAGCCGCGGUAAUACGUAGGGGGCAAGCGUUAUCCGGAUUUACUGGGUGUAAAGGGCGUGUAGGCGGGACUGCAAGUCAGAUGUGAAAACCACGGGCUCAACCUGUGGCCUGCCUUUGAAACUGUGGUUCUUGAGUACUGGAGAGGCAGACGGAAUGCCUGGUGUAGCGGUGAAAUGCGUAGAUAUUAGGAGGAACACCAGUGGCGAAGGCGGUCUGCUGGAGAGCAACUGACGCUGAGGCGCGAAAGCGUGGGGAGCGAACAGGAUUAGAUACCCGAGUAGUC
rnacentral:rRNA from 1 species